GCGGCAUUUGCGGUGGCCCAAGUCCGCGGCACGCACUGGCCGGUCGCGGACCCGGCCUGGCGCCGAGAGCCUCUGGCCUCGCAGGGGUUCGAGGCCCGCUGGGGAUGAAUCGCCGCCAGAGGUGGGGGCCCAGGGGAGAAAUCCGCAGAACGUGCACCUGCUCAGCACACCCAGCACCUGAUCCCCUGGGAAACUACACGCAGCUGGAGAAUUAUUAGAAGGGAAAGCCCUUGUUUGACAGUCUCUUAGAAGGAUGGUAUCAAAGAUGGUAAUAACUGUCCUUCAGGGGAAAAGGGAAAUGCUAAUAUUUCAUGAUCUGGGCCUAGAAGAUUUGUGGUUGUAUAUGCAGACAUGUUGGCUGUGUUCUGAUGAUACCCUGAUUAGCCGUGGCACAUGAAAUCUUAUGAGAAGUGGGAAUGGAUUGCCUGCAUUAUGCUGUUUGUUUGUUCGUUGUGCUAUUUGUACAGUACAUCUUUCUGGGGACUGUGGUACAGUGUUGCACGUUAUGGCUGUUGCAGAAGGCUGGGUUCAGCACAACUGUUGAGAGAAGUCUGGAUCUCAGAGAUGUGAUAAAGGAAGCAGUAUUGACAAGCCUAAUCAUUCAGACAUUGGACGCAACACAGUGCCGUAUGAAACUUAAGGAGCUCAGACAAGCGUACCAGAAAACCAAAGAAUCGAACGGACGCUCCAGGACAAAGCCCCAGACAUGCUGCUUCUACGCUGAGUUGCAUGCAAUUCUAGGGGGGGCUGCCACCACUAUCCCACCCCUGUUCGUGGAAUCUGAUGAUGGGGUACUCUCCGCCCUGGCUGAGGAUUUUGCAGAUGGGGAAGAGGAGGAUGAGCUUGGGGAGAGCACAGAACACACCAUUCUGCCCGACAGCCAGGAUCUUUUUAUC